ensembl:snRNA U1 U1 spliceosomal RNA
ACAGUUUGGGAAUGGUUCACCCAGGGAGAGGCUCUGCCAUUGCCAUGGUGGUGGUGACCCUUCCGGAUUCCCCAAAUGUGGGAAUCUCAAAUGCAUAGUUUCUGGUAGUGGGGGACUACAUUCACACUCUCCCCUG